AUACGUAGGGUGCAAGCGUUAAUCGGAAUUACUGGGCGUAAAGCGUGCGCAGGCGGUUUUGUAAGACAGUGGUGAAAUCCCCGGGCUCAACCUGGGAACUGCCAUUGUGACUGCAAGGCUGGAGUGCGGCAGAGGGGGAUGGAAUUCCGCGUGUCGCAGUGAAAUGCGUAGAUAUGCGGAGGAACACCGAUGGCGAAGGCAAUCCCCUGGGCCUGCACUGACGCUCAUGCACGAAAGCGUGGGGAGCAAACAGGAUUAGAUACCCUGGUAGUCCACGCCCUAAACGAUGUCAACUGGUUGUUGGGGAUUUAUUUUCUCAGUAACGAAGCUAACGCGUGAAGUUGACCGCCUGGGGAGUACGGCCGCAAGGUUAAAACUCAAAUGAAUUGACGG
rnacentral:rRNA from 1 species